AGCAGUAGCCGCGGGAAUACGAAGGGGGCUAGCGUUGUUCGGAAUUACUGGGCGUAAAGCGCACGCAGGCGGCUCGAUAAAUUAGAAGUGAAAGCCUUGGGCUUAACCUGAGAAUUGCUCUUAAGACUGUCGAGCUAGAAUCCAGAAGAGGGUAGUGGAAUUCCGAGUGUAGAGGUGAAAUUCGUAGAUAUUCGGAAGAACACCAGUGGCGAAGGCGACUACCUGGUCUGGCAUUGACGCUCAUGUGCGAAAGCGUGGGGAGCAAACAGGAUUAGAUACCCCUGUAGUCCCUGUCUCUUAUAC
rnacentral:rRNA from 1 species